rnacentral:tRNA from 2 species
GCCCAGGUGGUGAAAUUGGUAGACACGCUAGGUUCAGGGUCUAGUGCUCUUACGGGUGUGCUGGUUCGAGUCCAGUUCUGGGCA